rnacentral:rRNA from 1 species
AUUGAACGCUGGCGGCAUGCCUUACACAUGCAAGUCGAACGGUAACGGGCCUUCGGGUGCCGCCGAGUGGCGAACGGGAGAGUAAUACAUCGGAACGUGCCCGAUCGUGGGGGAUAACGAGGCGAAAGCUUUGCUAAUACCGCAUACGAUCUACGGAUGACAGCAGGGGACCGCAAGGCCUUGCGCGGACGGAGCGGCCGAUGGCAGAUUAGGUAGUUGGUGGGAUAAAAGCUUACCAAGCCGACGAUCUGUAGCUGGUCUGAGAGGAUGAUCAGCCACACUGGGACUGAGACACGGCCCAGACUCCUACGGGAGGCAGCAGUGGGGAAUUUUGGACAAUGGGCGCAAGCCUGAUCCAGCCAUGCCGCGUGCAGGAUGAAGGCCUUCGGGUUGUAAACUGCUUUUGUACGGAACGAAAAGCCUUCUUUUAAUACAGGAGGGUCAUGACGGUACCGUAAGAAUAAGCACCGGCUAACUACGUG